rnacentral:rRNA from 1 species
AUUGAACGCUGGCGGCAGGCCUAACACAUGCAAGUCGAGCGGAGCGGCGGACGGGAGAGUAAAGCCUAGGAAUCUGCCUGGUAGUGGGGGAUAACGUACGGAAACGGGCGCUAAUACCGCAUACUAUCAGAUGAGCCUAGUUCGGAUUAGCUAGUGGGUGGGGUAAAGGCCUACCAAGGAGACGAUCCGUAACUGGUCUGAGAGGAUGAUCAGUCACACUGGAAAUGAGACACGGUCCAGGUUCCGACGGGAGGCAGCAGUGGGGAAUAUUGGACAAGGGGGGAAAGCCUGAUCAAGCCAUGCCGCGGGUGUGAAGAAGGUCUUCGGAUUGUAAAGCACUUUAAGUUGGGAGGCGUUACCAACAGAAUAAGCACCGGCUAACUUCGUGCCAGCAGCCGCGGUAAUAC